rnacentral:lncRNA from 1 species
AAAGUCCCUGUGUGUCAACCUCUGUGCCUCGUGGCAAGGUAGACUAGCAAACAUGCCCAACCUUUACUCACAUUCGAGAAAACACUCCCAAUAAGAUUGCUUGCUCCAAAAUCGAAGAGGCACCGUCCUCCGAAUCUCGAGAGCCAGACUCCCAACAUGACUACUUUCUCAAAAAUCGAAGAGAGGGUAAAGGAACAGUACCAUUGCUGGAUAAUUGGAAAGUCCUUGUGUGUCAACCUCUGUGCUUCGUGGCAAGGUAGACUAGCAAACAUGCCCAACCUUUACUCACAUUUGAGAAAACACUCCCAACAAGAUUGCUUGCUCCAAAAUCGAAGAGGCACCACCCUCCGAAUCUCGAGAGCCAGACUCCCAACACGAUUACUUUCUCAAAAAUCGAAGAGACACUGCUCCCCGAAUCUCGAGAGCCAGACUCCCAGCAUGAUUGCUUUCUCAAAAAUCGAAGAGGCAUCGUUCUCCGAAUCAAUCGAAG